AGAUUAAGUUAUUAAGGGCGCACGGUGGAUGCCUUGGCACUAGAAGCCGAUGAAGGACGUUACUAACGACGAUAUGCUUUGGGGAGCUGUAAGUAAGCUUUGAUCCAGAGAUUUCCGAAUGGGGAAACCCAGCAUGAGUUAUGUCAUGUUAUCGAUAUGUGAAUACAUAGCAUAUCAGAAGGCACACCCGGAGAACUGAAACAUCUUAGUACCCGGAGGAAGAGAAAGAAAAUUCGAUUCCCUUAGUAGCGGCGAGCGAAACGGGAAGAGCCCAAACCAACAAGCUUGCUUGUUGGGGUUGUAGGACACUCUAUACGGAGUUACAAAGGACGACAUUAGACGAAUCAUCUGGAAAGAUGAAUCAAAGAAGGUAAUAAUCCUGUAGUCGAAAAUGUUGUCUCUCUUGAGUGGAUCCUGAGUACGACGGAGCACGUGAAAUUCCGUCGGAAUCUGGGAGGACCAUCUCCUAAGGCUAAAUACUCUCUAGUGACCGAUAGUGAACCAGUACCGUGAGGGAAAGGUGAAAAGCACCCCGGAAGGGGAGUGAAAUAGAACCUGAAACCGUGUGCUUACAAGUAGUCAGAGCCCGUUAAUGGGUGAUGGCGUGCCUUUUGUAGAAUGAACCGGCGAGUUACGAUUUGAUGCAAGGUUAAGCAGUAAAUGUGGAGCCGUAGCGAAAGCGAGUCUGAAUAGGGCGUUUAGUAUUUGGUCGUAGACCCGAAACCAGGUGAUCUACCCUUGGUCAGGUUGAAGUUCAGGUAACACUGAAUGGAGGACCGAACCGACUUACGUUGAAAAGUGAGCGGAUGAACUGAGGGUAGCGGAGAAAUUCCAAUCGAACCUGGAGAUAGCUGGUUCUCUCCGAAAUAGCUUUAGGGCUAGCCUCAAGUGAUGAUUAUUGGAGGUAGAGCACUGUUUGGACGAGGGGCCCUCUCGGGUUACCGAAUUCAGACAAACUCCGAAUGCCAAUUAAUUUAACUUGGGAGUCAGAACAUGGGUGAUAAGGUCCGUGUUCGAAAGGGAAACAGCCCAGACCACCAGCUAAGGUCCCAAAAUAUAUGUUAAGUGGAAAAGGAUGUGGCGUUGCCCAGACAACUAGGAUGUUGGCUUAGAAGCAGCCAUCAUUUAAAGAGUGCGUAAUAGCUCACUAGUCGAGUGACACUGCGCCGAAAAUGUACCGGGGCUAAACAUAUUACCGAAGCUGUGGAUUGUCCUUUGGACAAUGGUAGGAGAGCGUUCUAAGGGCGUUGAAGCAUGAUCGUAAGGACAUGUGGAGCGCUUAGAAGUGAGAAUGCCGGUGUGAGUAGCGAAAGACGGGUGAGAAUCCCGUCCACCGAUUGACUAAGGUUUCCAGAGGAAGGCUCGUCCGCUCUGGGUUAGUCGGGUCCUAAGCUGAGGCCGACAGGCGUAGGCGAUGGAUAACAGGUUGAUAUUCCUGUACCACCUAUAAUCGUUUUAAUCGAUGGGGGGACGCAGUAGGAUAGGCGAAGCGUGCGAUUGGAUUGCACGUCUAAGCAGUAAGGCUGAGUAUUAGGCAAAUCCGGUACUCAUUAAGGCUGAGCUGUGAUGGGGAGAAGACAUUGUGUCUUCGAGUCGUUGAUUUCACACUGCCGAGAAAAGCCUCUAGAUAGAAAAUAGGUGCCCGUACCGCAAACCGACACAGGUAGUCAAGAUGAGAAUUCUAAGGUGAGCGAGCGAACUCUCGUUAAGGAACUCGGCAAAAUGACCCCGUAACUUCGGGAGAAGGGGUGCUCUUUAGGGUUAACGCCCAGAAGAGCCGCAGUGAAUAGGCCCAAGCGACUGUUUAUCAAAAACACAGGUCUCUGCUAAACCGUAAGGUGAUGUAUAGGGGCUGACGCCUGCCCGGUGCUGGAAGGUUAAGAGGAGUGGUUAGCUUCUGCGAAGCUACGAAUCGAAGCCCCAGUAAACGGCGGCCGUAACUAUAACGGUCCUAAGGUAGCGAAAUUCCUUGUCGGGUAAGUUCCGACCCGCACGAAAGGCGUAACGAUUUGGGCACUGUCUCAACGAGAGACUCGGUGAAAUCAUAGUACCUGUGAAGAUGCAGGUUACCCGCGACAGGACGGAAAGACCCCGUGGAGCUUUACUGUAGCCUGAUAUUGAAAUUCGGCACAGCUUGUACAGGAUAGGUAGGAGCCUUUGAAACGUGAGCGCUAGCUUACGUGGAGGCGCUGGUGGGAUACUACCCUAGCUGUGUUGGCUUUCUAACCCGCACCACUUAUCGUGGUGGGAGACAGUGUCAGGCGGGCAGUUUGACUGGGGCGGUCGCCUCCUAAAAGGUAACGGAGGCGCUCAAAGGUUCCCUCAGAAUGGUUGGAAAUCAUUCAUAGAGUGUAAAGGCAUAAGGGAGCUUGACUGCGAGACCUACAAGUCGAGCAGGGUCGAAAGACGGACUUAGUGAUCCGGUGGUUCCGCAUGGAAGGGCCAUCGCUCAACGGAUAAAAGCUACCCGGGGAUAACAGGCUUAUCUCCCCCAAGAGUUCACAUCGACGGGGAGGUUUGGCACCUCGAUGUCGGCUCAUCGCAUCCUGGGGCUGUAGUCGGUCCCAAGGGUUGGGCUGUUCGCCCAUUAAAGCGGUACGCGAGCUGGGUUCAGAACGUCGUGAGACAGUUCGGUCCCUAUCCGUCGUGGGCGUAGGAAAUUUGAGAGGAGCUGUCCUUAGUACGAGAGGACCGGGAUGGACAUACCUCUGGUGUACCAGUUGUCGUGCCAACGGCAUAGCUGGGUAGCUAUGUGUGGACGGGAUAAGUGCUGAAAGCAUCUAAGCAUGAAGCCCCCCUCAAGAUGAGAUUUCCCAACUUCGGUUAUAAGAUCCCUCAAAGAUGAUGAGGUUAAUAGGUUCGAGGUGGAAGCAUGGUGACAUGUGGAGCUGACGAAUACUAAUCGAUCGAAGACUUAAUCAAAUU
rnacentral:rRNA from 2 species